rnacentral:lncRNA from 1 species
UUGCGUGCGCGUAUGGAUGCUCCUUUUCUUGCCGCCUUUCUAGCAACUAGUUAAUGUUAUGAUGCAUCGUUGGUCCGGCGUACGACGGCGCCUGGUGCGAUUUAUGCGUCCGGAAGCCCUUUCAGCCUCCCAGGCAAGUCCCACCUGCCUCACAGCCACCGACGCAUCUCACGGCGGGGGUCUAAUUGCGUGCGCGUAUGGAUGCUCCUUUUCUUGCCGCCUUUCUAACAACUAGUUAAUGUUAUGAUGCAUCGUUGGUCCGGCGUACGACGGCGCCUGGUGCGAUUUAUGCGUCCGGAAGCCCUUUCAGCCUCCCAGGCAAGUCCCACCUGCCUCACAGCCACCGACGCAUCUCACGGCGGGGGUCUAAUUGCGUGCGCG